rnacentral:rRNA from 1 species
AGAGUUUGAUCCUGGCUCAGGACGAACGCUGGCGGCGCGCCUAACACAUGCAAGUCGAACGGAGCUGAGAGGAGCUUGCUUUUCUUAGCUUAGUGGCGAACGGGUGAGUAACGCGUGAGUAACCUGCCCUGGAGUGGGGGACAACAGUUGGAAACGACUGCUAAUACCGCAUAAGCCCACGAUCCGGCAUCGGAUUGAGGGAAAAGGAUUUAUUCGCUUCAGGAUGGACUCGCGUCCAAUUAGCUAGUUGGUGAGGUAACGGCCCACCAAGGCGACGAUUGGUAGCCGGACUGAGAGGUUGAACGGCCACAUUGGGACUGAGACACGGCCCAGACUCCUACGGGAGGCAGCAGUGGGGGAUAUUGCACAAUGGGGGAAACCCUGAUGCAGCGACGCCGCGUGGAGGAAGAAGGUUUUCGGAUUGUAAACUCCUGUCGUUAGGGACGAUAAUGACGGUACCUAACAAGAAAGCACCGGCUAACUACGUGCCAGCAGCCGCGGUAAAACGUAGGGUGCAAGCGUUGUCCGGAAUUACUGGGUGUAAAGGGAGCGCAGGCGGACCGGCAAGUUGGAAGUGAAAACUAUGGGCUCAACCCAUAAAUUGCUUUCAAAACUGCUGGCCUUGAGUAGUGCAGAGGUAGGUGGAAUUCCCGGUGUAGCGGUGGAAUGCGUAGAUAUCGGGAGGAACACCAGUGGCGAAGGCGACCUACUGGGCACCAACUGACGCUGAGGCUCGAAAGCAUGGGUAGCAAACAGGAUUAGAUACCCUGGUAGUCCAUGCCGUAAACGAUGAUUACUAGGUGUUGGAGGAUUGACCCCUUCAGUGCCGCAGUUAACACAAUAAGUAAUCCACCU